GUGUUUAAUAUAAUUUUUAAUUUAUAUUAAUAAUAUAAACUUUAAAAUAAUGGAAGAUAUGUAGAUUGUUAUUAAAUCUUUAUUAUUAAAAUUAUUAAUUGUUAAAUAUAUAUUUUAUUCACUUUUGGUAAUUUCGUAGCUUUUAAUUAAGAAAAGAAAAAAAAUAAUAAUUAUAGAUUGUUAAUUAAUUUCAUGAUUAGUUUAAUGAAAAUAUAUUAUAUAUGUUCAGUGGACCAACAUAUUUUUUUAGAGACUUUAAAAAUAUUUUAGUGAUGACACAUAUCAUAGCUAAAAUGUUGUAAUGUUUCACUUUGAAUAUAUAAGGGAUUUCAAAGAAGUUCAACCUAAUUGGUUCUUAC
rnacentral:lncRNA from 1 species